AAUCCAAUUUGGUUGACAGAUGACACAAAAUCAGAAUGUGUGGCUACUCACAAAAACUUCGAAUCUCAUAAAAUCUUUGGACAACGUUGUGAUGAACGCUGCGAUACAUACUGUAUUCAUGACGACGGGGUCAAUCUUAGUUUUCAUGGUUUCAACGUUUGGGAGGAUGCUCGGACAAUUUGUCGCAGCCUAAAUAGUUCUCUUCUUAAUGAAAAGUUUACAAUCUCGUAUCCAACGCAAGUCCAAGAUAAACGUGCAGUCUGUCUAUCUGUUUUUAAAAGUUCAUCUGUUUCAUUUCAACCUGUCAUCAAGCUUGCAAGAAAUGAAAAUGGAACUAUAACUAUCCACGAUUCUACCGGAGACACACGACAGUAUCUGUGUGGCGGGAAAAUAGAAAAAUCUAAUUCCGGAGAAAGUGGUACAUGUUUAGGGGCAUUUGAUUUCAAUGUAUUCCACGCGAGGGGUACAGCUACAGAAUCAUCGGAAUUAACAAGAAAGACGCAACCAGAACAAGACAAUAGUAAAGCUUUCAUUACAUUUUGCAUUUUCAUGCAUGAGGAUCUUCAUUUCUAAUUGUGAAACAAGAGGCUCAUGGGCCACAUCGCUCACCUGAGCACUGUGGCUAGGAAAAAGUAGAAAUUAGUUUAUUAUUGAAAAGUUAAAUUUGAUAUAGUCCCAUGACCAAUCAUGGCUUUGCUAUUCUUGAGAAGAUGAUUUAAAUAA